ACUGGUUGAUCCCCUGCAAAAGCAAUAUGCCUUGUCUCAAAGAUUAGCCAAUGCAAGUCUAAGACAAACGAGCCGGUACAGUGAAACUGCGAAUGCGUCAUUAAAUGCAGUUAUGGUUCCUUUGAUUCGCUCUCAAUCGUACUAUGGAUCAACUGUGGCAAUUCUAAGGCUAAUACAAUGCAAAACGAGCGCUGACCGUCCGGGGACUGACACAGUGCAUUAUCAGAUCCAAAACCCAUGCGGGGUGUCCUCUCCGGGUGCCCCCGCCGCUUUGGUGACUCUAGAUAAUCCUGCGAGCGACGCUGGCCCCGUGGGCGGCGAGUCUCAUUCGAUGUCUGCCCUAUCAACUUCCGAUGGUACUUUUCUGUGCCUACCAUGGUGACCACGGGUAACGGAAUAAGGGUCGAUUCCGAGAGGGAGCCUGAGAAAUCGGCUACCACAUCCAAGGAAGGCGCGCAGGCGCGCAAAUACCCCACUCCCGACUCGGGGAGGUAGUGAACAAAAAUAACAUACAGGACCUUUCGAGGCCCUGUAAUUGGAAAAUGGAGUACACUUAAAUUCCCUUAAACGAGGGAUCAAUUGAGAGGGCAAGUCCUGGUGCCACCCAGCCGCGGGUACAUUCAGCUCCAAUAGGUAUCUAAAGUUGCUGCAGUUAAAUAAGCUCGUAGUUGGAUCUCGGCGAUAUGAGCUGACGGUCCGCCGCGAGGCGAGCUUAGCCGUCUGUCCCAGGCCCCUGCUCUCGGGCCCCUUUCAUGCCUUAGCUGAGUGUCCGCGGGUCCGAAGCGUUUUAACUUUGAAAAAAUUAGAGUGUUCAAGCAGGCCCGGUCGCCUGAAUACCCUUCAGCUAGGAAUAAUGGAAUAGGACUCCGGUCUAUUUUGUGGGUUUCUUUCUGAAACGGGGCCUAUUGAUUCAAGAGGGACGGCCGGGGGCAUUUCGUAUUGUGCCGUUAGAGGUGAAUUCCUUUGCGACGGCGCAAGAUCGGACCGAAAGCGAAAGCAUUUGCACAAGAAAUUUUUCAUUAAUCAAGAACGAAAGUCGGAGGUUCCGAAGACGAUCAGAUACCGUCGUAGGUCCGAACCAUAAAACGAUGCAACUAGCGAUCCGGCGCGUUAUCCCAUGACCCGCGGGCCAGCGUCCGGGAAACCAAAGUCUUUGGGUCCGGGGGGAAGUUAUGGUUGCAAGCUGAAACUUAAAAGGAAUGUGACGGAAGGGACCAACCCAGGAUUGGAGCCUGCGGAUCUUAAUUUGACCAAAACAAGGGAAACCUCGACCGGGCCCGGAACACCGAAAGGAUUGACAGAUUGAUAGCUCUUUCUCCGAUUCCUGUGGGUGGCUGUUGCAUGGCCGUGUCUUAGUUGGUGGACGCGAUUUGUCUGGUGUAAUUCCGCAAUACGAACGAGACUCCGCAUGCUAAACUAGUUACCGCGGCCGUUGCGGUCGGCGUCCAACUUCUGUAGAGGAAAGUGGCGUUAGUCCACAGAGAUUGGCAAUAACAGGUCUUGUGAUGCCCUUAGAUGUCCGGGGACUGCACGCGCUCCACACCUGAGUUGGAUCAGCGUGUGUCUACCCUUCGCCGCGAGGCGUGCUAACCCCCUGAAACCCCAACUCGUGAUAGGGAUGGGGAUGCCACUCUAUUUCCCCAUAACGAGGAAUUCCCAGUAAGCGCGGGUCAUAAGCGUCGCGUUGAAUUAAUCCCUGCCCUUUGUAACACACGGCCCGUCGCUAACUGGACCGAUUGGAUGGUUUAGUGAAGGUCCCUCGGAUCGGUUCCCGCCGGGUCGGUCACGGCCCUGGCGGAAGCGCCGAGAAGACAUCAAACCUUGACUAUCUAAGACGGAAGUAAAAUCGGUAACAAGGUUUCCGUAGUGAACCGUGCGGAAG
rnacentral:rRNA from 1 species